rnacentral:rRNA from 1 species
GAUGAACGCUGGCGGCGUGCCUAAUACAUGCAAGUCGAGCGAACGGACGAGAAGCUUGCUUCUCUGAUGUUAGCGGCGGACGGGUGAGUAACACGUGGAUAACCUACCUAUAAGACUGGGAUAACUUCGGGAAACCGUAGCUAAUACCGGAUAAUAUUUUGAACCGCAUGGUUCAAAAGUGAAAGACGGUCUUGCUGUCACUUAUAGAUGGAUCCGCGCUGCAUUAGCUAGUUGGUAAGGUAACGGCUUACCAAGGCAACGAUGCAUAGCCGACCUGGGAGGGUGAUCGGCCACACUGGAACUGAGACACGGUCCAGACUCCUACGGGAGGCAGCAGUAGGGAAUCUUCCGCAAUGGGCGAAAGCCUGACGGAGCAACGCCGCGUGAGUGAUGAAGGUCUUCGGAUCGUAAAACUCUGUUAUUAGGGAAGAACAUAUGUGUAAGUAACUGUGCACAUCUGGACGGUACCUAAUCAGAAAGCCACGGCUAACUACGU